rnacentral:tRNA from 1 species
GACCCAGCAUGGCAUAGUGGUUUGAGCACUGGACUGCGACUCUGGAGACCAGGGUUCGAUUCCCCGCUCAGCCA